rnacentral:rRNA from 1 species
UGCGUAGGCGGGUCAGUAAGCGCUUUGUGAAAUCCCACAGCUCAACUGUGGAACCGCAGGGCGAACUGCUGAUCUUGAGGAAGCUAGAGGCUGGUAGAACGAUAGGUGGAGCGGUGGAAUGCGUAGAGAUCUAUCGGAAUGCCGAAAGUGAAGACAGCCAGCUGGGGCUUUCCUGACGCUAAAGCACGAAAGCGUGGGGAGCAAACCGGAUUAGAUACCCGGGUAGUCCACGCCCUAAACGAUGUGCACUAGACUGGAGCGGCUCUGACGUCGUUCUGGUCGUAGAGAAAUUGUUAAGUGCACCGCCUGGGUAGUACGGUCGCAAGGCUAAA